GUGUGACCACCGUUCCUGCAG
rnacentral:miRNA from 1 species